UCCGAGUUGUCCCCGGCAGUCUCUUAUGAGUCCCCGGCAUAACCCGCUGGUAACAUAAGACAAGGGUUGCGCUCGUUGCGGGACUUAACCCAACAUCUCACGACACGAGCUGACGACAGCCAUGCACCACCUGUCAUGGGCCCUUUCGGACACCGUAUCUCUACGGCUUUUCCCAUGAUGUCAAACCCAGGUAAGGUGGGGAUGACGUCUGCGUAAC
rnacentral:misc_RNA from 1 species